rnacentral:rRNA from 1 species
GGACUACAAGGGUAUCUAAUCCUGUUUGAUCCCCAUGCUUUCGUGCCUGAGCGUCAAUAAAGCGCCAAUUCGCUGCCUUCGCCACUGGUGUUCUUCCGAAUAUCUACACAUUUCACUGCUACACUCGGAAUUCCACGAAUCUCUCGCUUAUUCAAGACUGACAGUAUCAAAGGCAGGUUCACAGUUGAGCUGUGAGAUUUCACCCCUGACUUACCAGUCCGCCUGCGCACCCUUUACACCCAGUAAAUCCGGACAACGCUAGGACCCUACGUAUUACCGCGGCUGCUGGCAC